GCCUCGCUAGCUCAGCUGGCAGAGCAACUCACUAGUAAUGAGUAGGUCGGGAGUUCGAAUCUCUCGCGGGGCACCA
rnacentral:tRNA from 1 species